GGAAAAACGAGAGUUAGUGGUUCUGCUAAGCCUUGUUCCUAGCUCUGUCGGCCGGUGAGGAAAGACAAGAACAGCUCUUCCAAAGACAGUCUACAAGGCCACCGCAGCCUCGUCCUAAAUACAUGACCAUUGAAAUUACAAAUAAGAAUUAAAGAAGGAUUCUAUGAUCCAAAGAAGUGGCUAAGAGGCCAUCAUGGCUAGUAGGAAAUUUAAGAAAGGCAACUUAAUUGCUAGAUGGCAGAAUCAGCAAGUGCAGAAAUUCAAGAAGAAGCAAAUGCUUUGAUAAUAAAUGUCAAUGAAAAUUCUGAAAGUGAAUGGGAAGCAAAUAGUGCAAGUGGAAAUGAAAGUCAAAAUGGAGAAGUUUAUAGAGAAGCCAACUUGCUAGACAGAGCGUUGGCAAAUAACAUCACACAAAUGCUAGAAAACUCGGAGCCUCCCUUAUCACCUGAAUGAUGUAUCUACAGGGUUCCAAGGGAUCUUCGCAAAGUGAACGAAGAAGCUUACACUCCUCAAGUUAUAUCAAUAUAUAGGGCCUUUUCACCACGGUGUUGAAAGAUUGGAAACUAUGGAAACGUAUAAAGAGAGAUAUUUCAAAAUAUUUGUGGAGAAGACUAAGCUAAAGGUGGAGAAUUUAGUAAGCACUAUAAGGGAUAGGGAAGCAAAUGUUCGUUGUUGUUAUUCACAUACUAGCAGACUUAGUAGUGAUGAUUAUGUGAAAAUGAUCCUGCUGGAUGCGAGCUUCAUUAUUGUACUUUAUCUCGUAUACCACGUUAAAGAAUGGUGUCGUUACGGCAACUUUACAAUAUUUUUGGA